GGGGAGCCCGCUGUUGUGACUGCUA
rnacentral:misc_RNA from 1 species